rnacentral:rRNA from 1 species
GUCUAAGUACUAGCCAACUUUUAAAAUGGUGAAACCGCGAAAAGCUCAUUAAAUCGGCUUUGGUUCCUUAGAUAGUUUGCAGAUUAGAGUUUUUUUCGACUUGUCGAAAAAAACAAAAUUCUGAAAUGGAUAACUGUGGUAAUUCUAGAGCUAAUACAUGAAAAAAAUUCGGUGCGAAACUGCGUUUGUUUUAAUCGACAAACGUUUGGCUUUGCACGCUUUUAUUAGAGAAAAAAGCCAAUUUUAUUAUUGAUUACGCAGUCGUGUACGAUUUUAGCGAUGAUUCUAAACGUUUGUUUUCUAUGGUCGCUAGAACGAUGACAAUUUGCGUGAAACCAAUACUAAUUAAAAAAUUUUGGUGUUGAAUCUGAAUAACUUGAAUGGAUUCUCUUUGAAAGAAUUUUAUUUCGUUUCGGAAUGAAAUUUGAUUAGGAGAGGGUUUAAAGCAGACCGCAUUAAAAGCUGCAAACAUAACGAUGAGAGCGCUUUUUGCGUUCGAUUCAGUGUUUGUAGUUUAUGUGG